AUACUGUGAAACUGCGAAUGGCUCAUUAAAUCAGUUAUCGUUUAUUUGAUAGUACCUUACUACUUGGAUAACCGUGGUAAUUCUAGAGCUAAUACAUGCUGAAAACCCCAACUUCGGGAGGGGUGUAUUUAUUAGAUAAAAAACCAACGCCCUUUCGGGGCUUCUUGGUGAUUCAUGAUAACUUUACGGAUCGCAUGGCCUUGCGCCGGCGACGGUUCAUUCAAAUUUCUGCCCUAUCAACUUUCGAUGGUAAGGUAUUGGCUUACCAUGGUUUCAACGGGUAACGGGGAAUUAGGGUUCGAUUCCGGAGAGGGAGCCUGAGAAACGGCUACCACAUCCAAGGAAGGCAGCAGGCGCGCAAAUUACCCAAUCCCGACACGGGGAGGUAGUGACAAUAAAUACUGAUACAGGGCUCUUUUGGGUCUUGUAAUUGGAAUGAGUACAAUUUAAACCUCUUAACGAGGAACAAUUGGAGGGCAAGUCUGGUGCCAGCAGCCGCGGUAAUUCCAGCUCCAAUAGCGUAUAUUAAAGUUGUUGCAGUUAAAAAGCUCGUAGUUGAAACUUGGGUCUGGCUGGCAGGUCCGCCUCACCGCGUGUACUUGUCCGGCCGGGCCUUCCUUCUGGAGAACCUCAUGCCCUUCACUGGGCGUGUUGGGGACCAGGACUUUUACUUUGAAAAAAUUAGAGUGUUCAAAGCAGGCCUUUGCUCGAAUACGUUAGCAUGGAAUAAUAGAAUAGGACGUGCGGUCCUAUUUUGUUGGUUUCUAGGACCGCCGUAAUGAUUAAUAGGGACAGUCGGGGGCAUCAGUAUUCAAUUGUCAGAGGUGAAAUUCUUGGAUUUAUUGAAGACUAACUACUGCGAAAGCAUUUGCCAAGGAUGUUUUCAUUAAUCAGUGAACGAAAGUUAGGGGAUCGAAGACGAUCAGAUACCGUCGUAGUCUUAACCGUAAACUAUGCCGACUAGGGAUCGGGCGAUGUUCUUUUUCUGACUCGCUCGGCACCUUACGAGAAAUCAAAGUUUUUGGGUCUGGGG
rnacentral:rRNA from 1 species